GUGCAGCAGGCGCGAAAACUUUACAAUGCGGGCAACCGUGAUAAGGGAACCUCGAGUGCCUGUAAACGCAGGCUGUUCAGGUGUCUAAAUCACACCUGGAGAAAGGGCCGGGCAAGACCGGUGCCAGCCGCCGCGGUAAUACCGGCGGCUCGAGUGGUGGCCACUUUUAUUGGGCUUAAAGCGUUCGUAGCUGGGUUGUUAAGUCUCUUGGGAAAUCCGGCGGCUCAACCGUCGGGCGUCUGAGGGAUACUGGCAAUCUUGGAACCGGGAGAGGUGAGGGGUACUUCGGGGGUAGGAGUGAAAUCCUGUAAUCCUCGAGGGACCACCUGUGGCGAAGGCGCCUCACCAGAACGGCUUCGACAGUGAGGGACGAAAGCUGGGGGAGCAAACCGGAUUAGAUACCCGGGUAGUCC
rnacentral:rRNA from 1 species